UUUCGCAAUGCCCGAAAGGGUGACGAAGCGACGCCGCGUGCGGGAAGAAGGCCUUCGGGUUGUAAACCGCUGUCGGGAGUUAGGAAAUGCAAGGAUGUUAAUAGCAUUCUUGCUUGACUAAGGCUCCGAGGAAGCCACGGCUAACUCUGUGCCAGCAGCCGCGGUAAUACAGAGGCGGCAAGCGUUGUUCGGAAUUAUUGGGCGUAAAGAGCACGUAGGCGGCUGUGUAAGUCGGUUGUGAAAGCCUUCCGCUUAACGGAAGAACGGCAUCCGAUACUGCAUAGCUUGAGUGCGGGAGGGGAGAGUGGAACUUCUGGUGGAGCGGUGAAAUGCGUAGAUAUCAGAAGGAACACCGGCGGCGAAGGCGACUCUCUGGUCCGUAACUGACGCUGAGUGUGCGAAAGCUAGGGGAGCAAACGGGAUUAGAUACCCCGGUAGUCCUAGCCGUAAACGAUGGGCACUAAGUAGAGGGGUUUU
rnacentral:rRNA from 1 species